CGGUGACAUCACGUUAAAACAUCAGUUUCCGUAAGAUCAAUGAAGUUAAGCAACGUCAAGCCUGGUCAGUACCUAGAUUGGUGACCAUUUGGGAAUACCAGGUGCUGUAAG
rnacentral:rRNA from 1 species